rnacentral:rRNA from 1 species
GAUGAACGCUGGCGGUGUGCUUAACACAUGCAAGUCGAACGGAAAGGCACUGAUUUCGUGGGCUGACGGGGUGGCGAACGGGUGAGUAACACGUGAGUAACCUGCUCUUGACUUUGGGAUAACUUAAGGAAACUGGGGCUAAUAUCGGAUCGGAGACCAUGCUGCAUGGAGGGCGUUGGAAAGUCGCGGCGGUUGGGGAUGGACUCGCGGCUUAUCAGCUUGCUGGUGGGGUAGUGGCUUACCCAGGCUUUGACUGGUAGCCGGCCUGUGAGGGUGAACGGCCACAUGGGGACUGAGGUACGGACCAGUCUCCAACAUUAGGCAGUAGUGGCGAACAUUGCACAAUGAGCGGAAGCCGGAGGCAGCAACGCCGCGGUCGUGAUGACGUCCUGCGGGUUGUAAACCGCUUUCGCUUGUUACGAAGCGUUAGUGACGGUAAUGGGUAAAGAAGCACCGGCUAACUACGUG